rnacentral:rRNA from 1 species
AAGUCGUAACAAGGUUUCCGUAGGUGAACCUGCGGAAGGAUCAUUAUCGAGUUAGGGUCCUUUGGGCCCCAUCUCCAACCCUUGUCUAUCUCACCAUGUUGCUUUGGCGGGCCCGUCUUUAACCAGACCGCUGGGGAUCAUCGUCCCCGGUCCGUGCCCGUCAGUAGCCCUUAUCAAUUCGUCGAAUCAUGAUGUCUGAGUCUGAACACAAUAACUAAAACUUUCAACAACGGAUCUCUUGGUUCUGGCAUCGAUGAAGAACGCAGCGAAAUGCGAUAAGUAAUGCGAAUUGCAGAAUUCCGUGAGUCAUCGAAUCUUUGAACGCACAUUGCGCCCUUUGGUAUUCCGAAGGGCAUGCCUGUCCGAGCGUCAUUAUCAACCGUCAAGCCCGGCUUGCUGUUGAGUCUUCACCGGAAGCGAUGCCGGUGGAUUCGAAAGAUAAUGGCAGAGUCGUGUCGAGAACCCUGGACGCAGCGAGCUUUUUCAGCACGCGUCUCAGAUUCUCCGCCUCAGUCUCAACCACGAACUUCAUCUGGUUGACCUCGGAUCAGGUAGGGAUACCCGCUGAACUUAAGCAUAUCAAUAAGCGGAGGAAAAGAAACCAACAGGGAUUGCCUCAGUAACGGCGAGUGAAGCGGCAACAGCUCAAAUUUGAAAUCUGGCUCCUUUGGGGGUCCGAGUUGUAAUUUGUAGAGGAUGCUUCGGGCAAGGCUGUGGUCUAAUUUGCUUGGAACAGCGAGUCAGAGAGGGUGAGAGUCCCGUCUAGGAUCGUAAGCCGCGUCCAUGUGAAGCUCCUUCGACGAGUCGAGUUGUUUGGGAAUGCAGCUCUAAAUGGGUGGUAAAUUUCAUCUAAAGCUAAAUAUUGGCCAGAGACCGAUAGUGCACAAGUAGAGUGAUCGAAAGAUGAAAAGCACUUUGAAAAGAGAGUUAAACAGUAUGUGAAAUUGUUGAAAGGGAAGCGCUUGCAAUCAGACUUGAGUGUGACGGUUCCCCCGGCCCUCGGGCCGGGCUACUCCGUCAUAUCCAGGCCAGCAUCGGUUUGGGUGGUCGGUUAAAGACCCCGGGAAUGUAUCUACCUCCGGGUCGACUUAUAGCCCGGGGUGCAAUGCGGCCCACCCGGACCGAGGAACGCGCUUCGGCUCGGAUGCUGGCGUAAUGGUUGUAAGCGGCC